AUUUUUGUUUUCAAAAGAUCCUACAAAUGAUUUCCUUGACAAAGCAAAAAUUUAUCUCCAUGUUCCUGAGGCAGGGUACUACCCCAAAGGAUGGUCCCUUAGCAGGUGUCACUAUAGUCUCUGCCCUCCUCUCACUGGCUAUGGAUCAUCCAAUACUUCAGAAUGUUGCCAUGACUGGGGAACUGUCUCUCACUUGAAAGAGAGUCAUUGGCUCAGAUCAUUGAGGCUGAUAAAAGAGUUAUAGAUGAUCCUACACAUCUUGCUGAGUUUGGAGCUGCACUGACCAGUGGAGAUUCACAUCAAAUUCAAGCAGUUCUUGAAUGUCCAGACAUAAUCACUUAAGUCCACUGUGGCAGGAGAACUGGAAUAAAAUUGUUGACUUAUUU